ACAAUAAACUAUGUGACUUCAUGCUAAAAGAUGAUACAUUUUGCCAAGCAUAUACUUUACCUCAAAAUUAACAAAAUAAAUAAUAAUCAUAAAGCUAUAGUAAGUUGAAUAGGACAAAAUGAAGAAAGAAAUGGUUCUGAUAAAACAUUCGUGAUUUUUUUAUGAAUCAGACACUAUGUUAUCUUAUUCAUUCUUUGCAAUAACUGUAAGAGGAAGGUAUUAUUAUAAUAUUUUUAUUGUAAAUCAAGAUCAAGUAAAUUUCCCAGGUCACACUAACUGACAGAUAAGGAAUUCACGCCCAGGUAUUUCUGUCUUUCUAUGAACAACAUAGCCCUGAAUGUACAGCUAAGGAAAAAGGCCACAGACGUUAUUGAUAUAAUAUCCAAGACAUCUCAUAACAGAUUGACCUCAAGCCAAUAAACAUAAAGACACUGAAGCUUGCAGUUAGCUUCCCCCCCCUCAGAUUUUCCUGAGGAGUUAGUUUCUUUUUCACUUUAUUUAUUUUAUAUAAAGCUAAGAGAUCACUUUUUAAAGCAUAAAACUGACAGGUAAAUGAGAAAAUUUCCAUGAUAGUUGAAAUUUUUAAGCAAUUUUGAAAACCAUACUUUUCCAAGUUGCUUUUUUUUUAAGCUAAAAAAGACAUUUUGUUAAUGGAUUCAACUCUGGAAACUGAAUCCUAAUUUUUUUCUGUUUUUUUGUUUGUUUGUCUGUAGUAUUUUUCUAUUACUGUUAGAUAAUGCACCAGAGUUUAUUUUUGGAGGCAAAGGUUAUGAGAUUGAUGGACUGGCCACAAUAAAGAACAAUCUCAUCUUGUGUCUUUAUAUAAAGGUUAUUUAUUCCUUGCUCUGGAUAUUAAGAUGGUCUCUCUCUCUCAAAGAAGACCGUACAUAUUGCACCAUUUCUACAUUAAAGCUGCAUCUUUACAGGAAACAGGCAGAUUGUUUAACCAAUGAUAUACCUGACUUCGUUCCAAGCCAAACAACACUGCCUUUUUAUUUUUGCCCAUGCCGCAGGCUAUCUGAAAGUAUUAGAGUUAAUGUGCAAUCAGGUAAGUAAACCCAUAUUACAUAUCUGUAAUUUUCCUCCAGUAGAAAGAAAAUAUUACAUUACAAGCCUCCAUAAUUGCAUUCAAAUGUAAUCAAAUACAAAAGUUUAAGAUCCCAAAUCCUUUGAGUUACAAGAUCUCUUUUUCUAUACAUUUAACCAAUCUUAUAGCUGCAAAAAGAAGUUGAAAUAAUUCUCAAGGCACUAAAAAAAAUAACAAGAUUGCCCUAUGCUGUAAUUGCCAGCCCCAGGCUCUAAUUCUUUUAUAGCACUGUCUGCAGCAGCCAUUUACGUGCUCAGGCAACAAAGCCCUGGACAGGGAUGCAUUUACAAAACAUGUAUUUGUAGCUAGGAAAAUAGCCAUUUGAAACUAAAUAAAGUUUCUUUGAUUGGGGUGUUGGGUGAAAACUAAUACUGUAAUAAACAGAAGUAGAACUUCUUUUUUGAUCUAUGAAUCAAGAACACAAGACUAAAGAGUUCUUGCUUAGCAUUAACAUUAAGGGAAUCUGAAUUAAAAGAAAAAGUCUUAGAACACUCAUCAAAACUAUGAAGAGGAUUAAAGCUUGGAAAAUUUAAAGUGUAUUACGUUAAAAAUAACUUUAUUUAUUGUGGCCUGCUUCCUUUCUUCCUUUAAUUUCUCUUUCUUUCUUCCUUCCUUCCUUUCUUUCUUUUUCUUUCUUUCUUCCUUCCUUCCUUCCUUUUUCUUUCUUUCUUUCUCUCUUUCUUUCUCUCUUUCUUUCUUUCUCUCUCUCUUUCUUUCUUUCUUUCUCUCUCUUUCUCUUUCUUUCUUUCUCUCUCUCUUUCUUUCUUUGUUUUUCAUCAUAGGGAAAUUGCAGAACCACAUGAAAAAUAAGGAUGAGAAAUGAGCAUAGAUGCUACUGAACAAUGUCAAGGCCAUCUGCUUUAUUCUAGACUGCCCAUGGGGAAACAUUCCGAAUUUGUAAAGCAGGCGGAGAUAGCAUGCUAAAAUGUUAGACAACUACUUGGCCAUGAAAGAUAUUCCUCUGCAUUCCUCCAGUUCUAUGAAUUAUAGAUUCAUUUGAUUUCAACAUUUUCACAUUUAAAAUAUACAUCCUGUCUUCACACUAAGAUUUCUUCCUAUGAGAAGUUGUUCUUAAAUGAUGCAUUCUCCCAAGAAUGAUCAUAAAGAUUGGCCAAAACCUGUGCUAAACUAUGCUUCCCUGCCUUCCAGCUCUUUGGAUGCAUUUAAGAAAAUGUAUGGCAAUCGUGGGACAAGAUCCUAGAGAGAAGCGAAGCACAUUGAGAUGACUCCUACAGGAAAGCCACUGAUUUUCCUCUUGAGAACUUGCUGAUUCAGAUUGUGGGACAUAGAGUUGCAUGGGGCUGCCUGGAGCUUAAAAUGGUCUUUCUCUGCCAGGAAAACCAAAACUGGAGGUUCAGCUUCCCAGGUCAGCCAUGAAAUGAGGGACCAAUAUCUGGAAGAAAGGGAGCCACGGGAAUAUCUAAGGCAAAAUGCAAUAACUGAAAUCAAGAAUUUAAUGAUAUGUUUAAUAGUAAACUAGACAAAGCAAAGAGGAGGAUGAAUGAAUUACAACGCAAGUUAGCAAAAAAAUGGGCAGACUAAAACACAGAGAAAAAAGGACUGGGAAAACAGAACAGAAGACAAGAGCCACAUGAGACAUUGUAAAAUGAUCUGCUGUAACUGGAAUCACAGAAUAGAAAUCAGACACCAAUAUAAUUAUGUCUUAAAAUGUUGAAGUAAUAUGUUUUCAAUCCUAGAAUUAUAUAUCUAGUUAAAAUAUCCUUUUAAAAAUGAAGGUGAAAAAAAAAGGUAGAUCAAACAAAAGCUGAGAGAAUUGGUCAUCAACUGAUACACACUAAGAGAAAUACUAAAGAUAGCUUUUCAAGGAGUUCCCGUCGUGGCGCAAAGGAAACGAAUCUGACUAGGAUCCAUGAGGAUACAGGUUCAAUCCCUGGCCUCUCUCAGUGGGUUAAGGAUCUGGAGUUGCCAUGAGCUGUGGUGUAAGUUGCAGACACAGCUCUGAUCUGGUAUUGCUGUGGCUGUGGUUGUAGGCCAGCUACAGCUCUGAUUCAACCCCUAGCCUGGGAAUCUCCAUAUGCCAUGGGUACAGACCUAAAAAGCAAAAGCAAAAAGAUAGCUUUUCAGUCAGAAGAAAUAAGAUUGCAGAUGAAAGCACCAGAAAGCAGGAAAACAGAGUUGCCAUUGUGGUUUAGUGGAAACAAAUCUGACUACUACCCGUGAGGUUUUGGGUUCGAUCCUUGGCCUCACUUAGUGGGUUAAGGAUCAGUGCUGCAGUGAGCUGUGGUGUAGGUCAUAGACGCAGCCUAGAUCCUUCUUUCCUGUGUCUGUGGUGCAGGCUGGCAGCUGCAGCUCCAGUUUGACUCCCUAGCCUGGGAACUUCAUAUGCCACAGGUGUGGCCCUAAAAACUAUGUUUAUCUUCUUUA
rnacentral:lncRNA from 1 species